rnacentral:misc_RNA from 1 species
UAAAAAUCUCAAGCCUAAUUUAUUAAAAUAAAGCUUGGUGUUGGGUCUUCAUCCCUUUCUCCCCGCUGAAAAGAGGGGAAGACAGGGGAUGUACCUGAAAACCAGCGGUGGUGCCACAAUGGCCUCAAGUGUAGUAGACCUUUUAACUCUCACUUUAGGUGGUCAGUUGGAGUUACCUGCCCAUUGAUUACUUUGAAAUG